rnacentral:rRNA from 1 species
CCUACGGGUGGCAGCAGUGAGGAAUAUUGGUCAAUGGGCGCAAGCCUGAACCAGCAAUGCCGCGUGUGGGACGACAGGGCUUCGCCUUGUAAACCACUGUCGGAUGGGACGAAAAGAGGUAAGAACCUCCGGGACGGUACCAUCAAAGGAAGGGUCGGCUAACUACGUGCCAGCAGCCGCGGUAAUACGUAGGACCCAAGCGUUGUCCGGAUUUACUGGGUAUAAAGGGUGCGUAGGCGGUCUUGUGCGUCAGAGGUGAAAUAUCCGGGCUUAACCCGGAGGGUGCCUUUGAUACGGCAGGACUUGAGUGCGAGAGAGGAUGAUGGAAUUCCUGGUGUAGCGGUGAAAUGCGUAGAUAUCAGGAGGAACACCGGUGGCGAAGGCGGUCAUCUGGCUCGUAACUGACGCUGAGGCACGAAAGCGCGGGGAUCAAACAGGAUUAGAUACCCUAGUAGUC